UCUCCCCUUGAACACUGAGCAGAAGGCUGGGGCUGAAGGAGGCAGAGUAGAGGGAAAGGCAGGCUGGAGGAGAGGCAGGGAGAGGGAGAGGGAGAGCCGGGGACUGGGUAGCGGCUCCGAGGCCGGGGGGUUAGGGGGAUGCCGGGCCUGGGGAGGCUGGCAGGGAAAAACGUGUGAAGGUGGGAUGGCGGGGUGGACACGGGAACCCGAGAAAGGUGAGGGAGAUGAAGGCUGAGCGGAGGCCGUGAUGAAGAUGCCAUAGCAUGGGAGAGGAAUACUGGGCUGAAGGAGGGAUGAAGAAGAUAGAGGAAGAGAAGGCCAGGGAGAGGCAGGGAAGAAAAGGUGACAGGGAGGGAAAACUGGGAACUGGGAGAAAGAAUCAACUGAGACCAGGGUUGAAAUAGACAGACAUAUAUUACUAUUCCUGCGUAGAAAUGCGGGUUGAGUGUAGGAAAGGACAGAAUUUAAACUGAAGAAAAAGUCUAAACACAGUUAAGGUAUAGAAACUAGAUGUAACAGGGGCUGGAGAGAGACAGAGACAGGUAGCAAGACGAUCAGAGAGCAAAACAGAAGCAGGAAAAGCUCAGAAAAUCAUUAUUGCAGCUGUAGGAGUCUGUUAUCCUUUUCCUGCCAUGGAUGUAAUGCUGGUUUGGACAGCGGGUAACGUCCAAUCAGACAACAGGACUGCAGGCCUUGUCAUAAUGACAACCAUGACAUCACUGCAAGGGCGAGCGGAGAGAAGACAGCGGAGCUCCAGACAGACAGCGGGACAACCGCGGAGCUGCACGGCGGCCAAAGCGCGCCGGCUGCCGGAUCGAAACCGCGCGGACUACCGAGGGGGGGGGAGAACGACAUGCGGAGGGUGCCGGUUGGGGCUGUUUCACGGCCGGGGCACGGAGCUCUUCCCCCGGACAGGCUGAGACUGCUUCACCGGUACGGAAGCGAGGAGGAGGAUGUGGAGGAGGUUGAACGAAACGGCGUCUUGUUUUAUUUCAACACGAGAGGAAGACAACUCCCAAACUGGCAUGAUGUAACAGAAGAGUGAAGACUCAGUCAAGAGACCAGGACAUUGCAUGAACCGGAUGGCAAAUGGGGACCGAGGAGCAGCGGCUGCUGUAAUCUCCACUGUUCAAUUAGCGGCGCUGACCGGGACGCCACCUACACUUCAUUAACAGGGUGAGGAAGGCUGACCUGAGAUCUACAGUAUGAGACAAAAGAACACAAACAUUUCAUAAAUAACAACUCUACAUUUGAAGUACCAGCCCUGUUUUUGAAGGUGAUGCUGAUGGUACAACAUCGAACCAGUGGGAGUGCAGGAGAUGGAAAAGAUGCCGACAUUUCACACACACACACACACACACACACACAUUUGUGCGCACACACUUGUACACACGCACGGCAGUAAAUGGGAGCUUGCUGUCACUAGUGUGAGCCAUUUCCAGGUGAGGCAAACUGAAUUAAAGGGAAUCAAGCUGAACUGAUGUGAACUGGAACGACCUGACCUGAGCUGAAAAGAAGGUUUGAGCCGGACAGGACACACACAGCGCUCUGAAUUUCAAGGCAGAGAAUUAACACAGAUGAAAACCUGCUGUCAAUCACACCUGUGGUUUUUUUGUUUUUUUUUUUGGGGGGGGGGGGGGGGGGGG